rnacentral:misc_RNA from 1 species
AAGUCGUAACAAGGUUUCCGUAGGUGAACCUGCGGAAGGAUCAUUAAUGUGUGCUUUGCAAGCCCCCACUGAUCCCAGUGGUGUGCUGCAAUGUCCCAUCCUGUGUUGUGUGAGCGUGUGAUGUGUGCACAUGUUGCUGUGUGCACACGUUUGCUAUUUACACCACAUGUUUUUCAAUCUUUCUGAUAUACUGUGUUUGAUCCACUGCGAUCAACAACAACAACAAUCGAAAACUGCCACCAAUGGAUCACUUGGUUCUC